rnacentral:rRNA from 1 species
AUUGAACGCUGGCGGCCGGCCUAACACAUGCAAGUCGAGCGGAGCGGCGGACGGGUGAGUAAUGCCUAGGAAUCUGCCUGGUAGUGGGGGAUAACGUCCGGAAACGGGCGCUAAUACCGCAUACUAUCAGAUGAGCCUAGGUCGGAUUAGCUGGUUGGUGGGGUAAAGGCCUACCAAGGCGACGCUCCGUAACUGGUCUGAGAGGAUGAUCAGUCACACUGGAACUGAGACACGGUCCAGACUCCGACGGGAGGCAGCAGUGGGGAAGAUUGCAAAAUGGGCGCAAGCCUGAUGCAGCCAUGCCGCGUGUAUGAAGAAGGCCUGCGGGUUGUAAAGUACUUUCAGCGGGGAGGCGUUACCCGCAGAAGAAGCACCGGCUAACUCCGUGCCAGCAGCCGCGGUAAUAC